rnacentral:rRNA from 1 species
UGGCUAACGGGUGAGUAACACGUGGGUAAUCUGCCCUGCACUCUGGGAUAAGCCUGGGAAACUGGGUCUAAUACUGGAUAUGACCUUUCUCCUUAUGGGGUUUGGUGGAAAGUUUUUCGGUGUAGGAUGAGCCCGCGGCCUAUCAGCUUGUUGGUGGGGUGAUGGCCUACCAAGGCGACGACGGGUAGCCGGCCUGAGAGGGUGAUCGGCCACAUUGGGACUGAGAUACGGCCCAG